CAGUCGCCGCGAGAAUACGGAGGGGGCUAGCGUUGUUCGGAAUUACUGGGCGUAAAGCGUACGUAGGCGGCUUUGUAAGUUAGAGGUGAAAGCCUGGUGCUCAACACCAGAACUGCCUUUAAGACUGCAUCGCUUGAACGUCGGAGAGGUGAGUGGAAUUCCGAGUGUAGAGGUGAAAUUCGUAGAUAUUCGGAAGAACACCAGUGGCGAAGGCGGCUCACUGGACGACUGUUGACGCUGAGGUACGAAAGCGUGGGGAGCAAACAGGAUUAGAUACCCCAGUAGUCCCUGUCUCUUAUAC
rnacentral:rRNA from 1 species